rnacentral:rRNA from 1 species
UACAGAGGGUGCGAGCGUUGUCCGGAAUCACUGGGCGUAAAGGGCGCGUAGGUGGCCACUAUAAGGCCGUGGUGAAAGUCUGGGGCUCAACCCCAGAUCUGCCAAGGCGACUGUAGGGCUAGGGCACCGUAGAGGCAGAUGGAAUUCCGGGUGUAGCGGUGGAAUGCGUAGAGAUCCGGAAGAACACCGGUGGCGAAGGCGGUCUGCUGGGCGGUGGGGGCGCAAGCUCCCAAUAGCCGACACUGAGGCGCGACAGCGUGGGGAGCAAACAGG